rnacentral:rRNA from 1 species
ACCUGCCGGUGACAAACCGAGGAAGGUGGGGAGUGACGUCAAGUCAUCAUGGCCCUUAUGUCCAGGGCGACACACGUGCUACAAUGGCCGGCACAACGGGAAGCGAGUUCGCGAGGACGAGCGGAUCCCUUAAAGCCGGUCGCAGUUCGGAUUGAAGUCUGCAACUCGACUUCAUGAAGCUGGAAUCGCUAGUAAUCGCAGAUCAGCCAAGCUGCGGUGAAUACGUUCCCGGGCCUU